AUUGAACGCUGGCGGCAGGCCUAACACAUGCAAGUCGAGCGGGGUUUUCGGACCUAGCGGCGGACGGGUGAGUAAUGCGUAGGAAGCUGCCCGAUAGGGGGGGAUACCAGUUGGAAACGACUGUUAAUACCGCAUAAUGUCUACGGACCAAAGUGUGGGACCUUCGGGCCACAUGCUAUCGGAUGCGCCUACGUGGGAUUAGCUAGUUGGUGAGGUAAUGGCUCACCAAGGCGACGAUCUCUAGCUGGUUUGAGAGGAUGAUCAGCCACACUGGAACGGAGACACGGUCCAGACUCCUACGGGAGGCAGCAGUGGGGAGUAUUGGACAAUGGGCGCAAGCCUGAUCCAGCCAUGCCGCGUGUGUGAAGAAGGCCUUCGGGUUGUAAAGCACUUUCAGCGAGGAGGAAGGGUGGUGUGUUAAUAGCACAUCAUUUUGACGUUACUCGCAGAAGAAGCACCGGCUAACUCUGUGCCAGCCGCCGCCGUAAGAC
rnacentral:rRNA from 1 species